rnacentral:rRNA from 1 species
UCGAGGAUCUUCGGCAAUGGGCGCAAGCCUGACCGAGCGACGCCGCGUGUGCGAUGAAGGCCUUCGGGUUGUAAAGCACUGUCGAGGGGGAGGAAAGCCGAAAGGUCUGACCUAUCCCUGGAGGAAGCACGGGCUAAGUUCGUGCCAGCAGCCGCGGUAAGACGAACCGUGCGAACGUUGUUCGGAUUCACUGGGCUUAAAGGGCGCGUAGGCGGGCCACUCAGUCCGGGGUGAAAUCUUUCGGCUUAACCGGAAACGAGCCUUGGAGACGGGUGGUCUGGAGGGAGAUAGGGGCAGGUGGAACUUCCGGUGGAGCGGUGAAAUGCGUUGAUAUCGGAAGGAACGCCGGUGGCGAAAGCGACCUGCUGGAUCUCUACUGACGCUGAGGCGCGAAAGCCAGGGGAGCGAACGG